UAAAUAAGAAGCAAUUAUGCUUUUAGUUUCGACCUAAAUUUUUGAUAUUUUAUAUCCUUAUUUAU
rnacentral:tRNA from 1 species